AACUGAGCCGGCCAGGGCAGCUUGAUAUUUCUUCACAAUUGGACUCAGGUUAUGCGUUUUUUGCUGGGGCUACCACAGCGGCGGCACUGUGCCCCUUCAGCCCUCAGAUCUGGAGCCGCCCCAUGCUGGCUUGCCUCAUUACCGGUGAUGUUAACUUUGAUCCCUUGGUUAAGAUUUCUCCACCUAAAGUUGCAUACUCUUCCUCGGUAUGAACACAUACCUUGUGAGGAGAUACUGUAAGACUAAAACUACCCUAUUCUGGUAUGCAACACCCUUCCCGCCCCAAUGUCACCCCAUGGUUUUAACACCCGUCCUUACCUGAAUCAGUUAUCAUGGUGGCUGUAACUUGGUCAUUUUAAACUCUAUAUUCCUUCUUUAAUGAUGAGUUGGCUUUCUUACUGCAAAAGAACUUCCCUACUCGCCUUCCUCCCUUCGGCUCCCCCUCGUCCUACGCUCUGCAUCUCUAAUAUUUCCAGAAUUGGUAUGAGCUCGUGGGUCCCUCCUUCAUUCAGUGAGCACCGCCCUUACUCAUCUUGAUGCAUAACGUGUCCCUGCUUUUCCAGAGGGAACUCCCUCAAGCUGGUUCCGUGUCCUUCCCACAGGUUACCGUCAUCCUGCGAGUGCCUCCUGCUUUCUAAGCACAAGAUGUUCCAGGCGCACCUGGUGCUUUGCCUGCCCCGCGUUGGAACCAGCCACUGCCCAGGAGCCCUGGCCCCUUUGAAGGAGAGGGGUAUCCAGAAGCCAAGAUCCGGUGUCGGGCGCUGGCCCUGUUUUGAAGGGCUUGCUGUGAGGAACGGCGGAAUCCUGCAUAGAGAUUUGUACCUGAAAAACUGCGACUACCAGCAUUUUCUAAGAGUAUUUCCAAAGUCUUGCCCUUUUGUGACGUCCUGGGGCCACCGCCGGUUCAUAUUCCAUCCCCUCUCUCUCCACCCCGGGGUCCGCAGGCUGUGCUGCCAGGUCUCGUUCCCUGAGUGCUUCAGGCUGGACGCAUCUACAUCGUCUCAGGUUUCCCCGGAACUGGGGCCCCACAUGGAGCCUGGGGAACAUACACUUUUGUCAGCAGCAAUUGGGUCGGAAUGACAAUUUUGCCCAAAAUAAAUUUUGCAUCCUG